rnacentral:rRNA from 1 species
GACGAACGCUGGCGGCGUGCCUAAUACAUGCAAGUCGAACGCAGUGGGGACGGGUGAGUAACACGUGGGUAACCUCCCAUCAGAGGGGAUACCACUUGGAAACAGGUGCUAAACCGAUACUGAUGGAUGAACCCGCGGUGCAUUAGCUAGUUGGUGAGGUAACGGUUCACCAAGGCCACGAUGCAUAGCCGACCUGAGAGGGUGAUCGGCAAAACUGGGACUGAGACACGGCCCACAGUCCUACGGGAGGAAGGUGUAGGGAAGCUUGGGCAAUGGACGAAAGUCGUACCGAGAAACGCCGCGUGAGUGAAGAAGGUUUUCGGAUUGUAAAACUCUGUUGUUAGAUAAGCGGUAUCUAACCAGAAAGCACCGGCUAACUACGUGCCAGCAGCCGCGGUAAUUC